rnacentral:rRNA from 1 species
ACUCCUACGUGAUGCAGCAGUGGGGAAUAUUGCACAAUGGGCUCAAGCCUGAUAUCAUCCAUGCCGCGUCAGUGACUCUCCGAGAAGUCCUUCUGGUUGUAACGCCCUUUUGUUCGGAAAGAAAAGCAUUCGGUUAAUACCCGGGUGUUCUGACGGUACCCAAAGAAUAAGCACCGGCUAACUACGUGCCAGCAGCCGCGGUAAUA